CUGUCCAGGGUUCUGUGAGAUUGACUCAUAGAACCCUGGUACUAUUCAAGCGCCUCAAUCCUUUUGCCAUGUUAGCUGUCAUGAUCCUCUGACGAUUGCUUUCUAAUCAUUUUUGGGCUCUUUAUUGUCAUUAAGGGCUUUCCAUAUAAGUUUGUUGCACUCUGAUAGUCUGGGAGAGUUAAAUGAAGAACAGAGACACAGCCAAUCACAGAGCAGGGCUACAGGGAUCAGAACCAUAGGAGCCAAAAUCAAAGAGGACACAACCACAGGGAUCAAAGCCACAGGGUCCAGAACCAAGAAGAACAGAGUCGCAGGGACCACAACCAGAGAGAGCAGAACAUCAGGGACCAGAACCCUCUGUGUCAGCUGCAUGUUCAGACAGAAGAGUAAAUACAAAGUCUGGGUUUUCCUUCAUUCUACAGUCAGAGGAGGAGCCAACAACCAGGACAGUAGAGCGACAGAUCGAUUCUUUAAAUGCAACUUUAACUACGGAAUUGGCCAGGUUUUGAUGGCGAGCUAGGAGCCCUGUCAACUCUCCAGGAUAACAGCCUGAAGAAUUUCCCCCGGACCUCAAAUGAACUGAACCUCCUUCACUUUGUUGGUCUGGUUGGAGACUCCCUUGAGCAGCCGCCCUCCUGUUGUUUUCCAUUCUGUUUCCAACAACAUUUGGCUGAACGGCUCAUCCACUUAAACUCUCGUUCCAUCCCCAAUACCCAUGGUCAAUUUUCCCUCUGGGCAUUACGCUGGGCCUGUGGGCUAAUUGCGUCUUGGCAUCUGGGUACAAAUCUGAACUUUUGCGUUACAUUCAGAAAAAAAAUACUCUGAACAUUGCAUUUAAUUGAAUUAACUUUGAACUGAUGAAUUAAUUCUGAAUUGACCAACUGUGUUAUGUAUAUGA